rnacentral:rRNA from 1 species
GAAUAUGGAGCGGCGAACGGGUGAGUAACACGUGGGCAACCUGCCCCUAGCUCUGGGACAACUCCGGGAAACCGGGGCUAAUACCGGAUACGACCUCGGAAGACAUCUUCUGCGGUGGAAAGUUUUUCGGCUAGGGAUGGGCCCGCGGCCUAUCAGCUUGUUGGUGAGGUAACGGCCCACCAAGGCGACGACGGGUAGCCGGCCUGAGAGGGCGACCGGCCACACUGGGACUGAGACACGGCCCAG